UACGGAAGGCAGCAGUGGGGAAUAUUGCACAAUGGGCGAAAGCCUGAUGCAGCUAUGCCGCGUGUAUGAAGAAGGCCUUAGGGUUGUAAAGUACUUUCAUCGGGGAGGAAAAAACAAAACUAAUAAUUUUAUUUCUUGACGUUACCCGAAAAAGAAGCACCGGCUAACUCCGUGCCAGCAGCCGCGGUAAUACGGAGGGUGCUAGCGUUAAUCAGAAUUACUGGGCGUAAAGAGCACGUAGGUGGUUUUUUUAAGUCAGAUGUGAAAUCCCUGGGCUUAACCUAGGAACUGCAUUUUGAAACUGAAAUACUAGAGUAUCGUAGAGGGAGGUAGAAUUCUAGGUGUAGCGGUGAAAUGCGUAGAUAUCUGGAGGAAUACCUGUGGCGAAAGCGGCCUCCUAAACGAAUACUGACACUGAGGGUGCGAAAGCGGUGGGGAGCAAACAGGGAUUAGAUACC
rnacentral:rRNA from 1 species